GCACCCGUGGCGGAAUGGAAUACGCAGCAGGCUAAGAACCUGUGGCUUUGCAUGAGAGUUCGAAUCUCUCCGGGUGUA
rnacentral:tRNA from 1 species